UAUGACCAUAUUAUGUUGAAACACUAGUUCUUGUCCAAUCCCCAAAGUUAAGCAAUGUUGGGCCUGGUCAGAGGUUGGGUGACCACUUGGGAGUACCAGGUGCUGUAAG